CCCACAAGAAUCUCUGAUGGUUUUCAGGCGCCGAACAUGCGUUUGGAAUGAAAAGGGAAUACGGUAAGGAAGAGCGAAUACGCGCCAAAUCCGUAACUGCCCCCGCAACUGUAUGCGGCGAGUAACCUCGAUUGAUGCCACUGAGCCUUCGGCUUGGGAAGGCUCGAGGAAACGCUGAUCCGCAAGUCAGGAGACCUGCCAUCACGCGACGUUUCGG
rnacentral:ncRNA from 2 species